rnacentral:rRNA from 1 species
ACGAACGCUGGCGGCGUGCUUCACCCAUGCAAGUCGAACGGAAAGGCCCUGCUUUUGUGGGGUGCUCGAGUGGCGAACGGGUGAGUAACACGUGAGUAACCUGCCCUUGACUUUGGGAUAACUUCAGGAAACUGGGGCUAAUACCGGAUAGGAGCUCCUGCUGCAUGGUGGGGGUUGGAAAGUUUCGGCGGUUGGGGAUGGACUCGCGGCUUAUCAGCUUGUUGGUGGGGUAGUGGCUUACCAAGGCUUUGACGGGUAGCCGGCCUGAGAGGGUGACCGGCCACAUUGGGACUGAGAGACGGCCCAGACUCCUACGGGAGGCAGCAGUGGGGAAUAUGGCACAAUGGGCGGAAGCCUGAUGCAGCAACGCCGCGUGCGGGAUGACGGCCUUCGGGUUGUAAACCGCUUUCGCCUGUGACGAAGCGUGAGUGACGGUAAUGGGUAAAGAAGCACCGGCUAACUACGUG